AGGACGAGGUGUUCUCGGAGCUGGUGAGACCCCUGCUGGCCAUGGUGCCCCUUGGCUACAGCGUGUCCCUGCUGCUGUUGGAGGCCCAUCAGGCCGGGACCAAGCUGCAGCCUCAGGGCACUGGGCAGCACCACAGCAUCAUCCAACAGGUGAUAGAAACCUUCUUCCAGGAGCCCAAGCUCCCAGGGGAUGGCAGGGACCAUCUGCAAACUGUCAGCUUUGUCCAGGUAAGAUGGAGUGUGGGAGAUCCAUCGCUGGUGGGCUGGUGUGUGCCCCAGGCUGGUGUGUGCCCCAGGCUGGUGUGUGCCUCAGGCUGGCUGCCCAUCCUCCAGCCUGGGCCAUUGGGGAAUGAUUUUAUAACUCUCAUUAGAGCAGUAUCUCCCAUUGCUCGUGGUGGGGCCCUGGGGCUGCAAUCUGUGCUGCCCGCUGGCUGGACUCUCACACCCCCUGGGCACUCUUUGCCAUCACCUUCCCAGCUGGGGCACCUGUGAGUCCUGCCAGUCUGCAGGGCAGCCCCCCUCCCCCAAUGCCUGAGUCUGAGCCCCAAAUUGGGGGAUGGGCGGAGUGGGGCAAAUGUACUACAGGAUCAUGGGAUUGCUGAGUGUGGGGAAGCUGGGAUGUCCCUGGGGGCUCCUGUUCUGAGCAGCAGCUGGGGUGGCUUUUCCUUCCCUCUCUUUUCCCUCUGUUACCCAUAUGGCUCUGCCUUCCACUGCCCACCCUCACUGCCUGUGGGUAGCUUCCCCAAG
rnacentral:lncRNA from 1 species